UGGGAUUUAUACCCCCUGCGCUGUACUUGC
rnacentral:sRNA from 1 species